rnacentral:rRNA from 1 species
CGAAUGCUGACAUAAGUAACGAUAAAGCGGGUGAAAAGCCCGCUCGCCGGAAGACCAAGGGUUCCUGUCCAACGUUAAUCGGGGCAGGGUGAGUCGACCCCUAAGGCGAGGCCGAAAGGCGUAGUCGAUGGGAAACAGGUUAAUAUUCCUGUACUUGGUGUUACUGCGAAGGGGGGACGGAGAAGGCUAUGUUGGCCGGGCGACGGUUGUCCCGGUUUAAGCGUGUAGGCUGGUUUUCCAGGCAAAUCCGGAAAAUCAAGGCUGAGGCGUGAUGACGAGGCACUACGGUGCUGAAGCAACAAAUGCCCUGCUUCCAGGAAAAGCCUCUAAGCAUCAGGUAACAUCAAAUCGUACCCCAAACCGACACAGGUGGUCAGGUAGAGAAUACCAAGGCGCUUGAGAGAACUCGGGUGAAGGAACUAGGCAAAAUGGUGCCGUAACUUCGGGAGAAGGCACGCUGAUAUGUAGGUGAAGUCCCUCGCGGAUGGAGCUGAAAUCAGUCGAAGAUACCAGCUGGCUGCAACUGUUUAUUAAAAACACAGCACUGUGCAAACACGAAAGUGGACGUAUACGGUGUGACGCCUGCCCGGUGCCGGAAGGUUAAUUGAUGGGGUUAGCCGCAAGGCGAAGCUCUUGAUCGAAGCCCCGGUAAACGGCGGCCGUAACUAUAACGGUCCUAAGGUAGCGAAAUUCCUUGUCGGGUAAGUUCCGACCUGCACGAAUGGCGUAAUGAUGGCCAGGCUGUCUCCACCCGAGACUCAGUGAAAUUGAACUCGCUGUGAAGAUGCAGUGUACCCGCGGCAAGACGGAAAGACCCCGUGAACCUUUACUAUAGCUUGACACUGAACAUUGAGCCUUGAUGUGUAGGAUAGGUGGGAGGCUUGGAAGUGUGGACGCCAGUCUGCAUGGAGCCGACCUUGAAAUACCACCCUUUAAUGUUUGAUGUUCUAACGUUGACCCGUAAUCCGGGUUGCGGACAGUGUCUGGUGGGUAGUUUGACUGGGGCGGUCUCCUCCUAAAGAGUAACGGAGGAGCACGAAGGUUGGCUAAUCCUGGUCGGACAUCAGGAGGUUAGUGCAAUGGCAUAAGCCAGCUUGACUGCGAGCGUGACGGCGCGAGCAGGUGCGAAAGCAGGUCAUAGUGAUCCGGUGGUUCUGAAUGGAAGGGCCAUCGCUCAACGGAUAAAAGGUACUCCGGGGAUAACAGGCUGAUACCGCCCAAGAGUUCAUAUCGACGGCGGUGUUUGGCACCUCGAUGUCGGCUCAUCACAUCCUGGGGCUGAAGUAGGUCCCAAGGGUAUGGCUGUUCGCCAUUUAAAGUGGUACGCGAGCUGGGUUUAGAACGUCGUGAGACAGUUCGGUCCCUAUCUGCCGUGGGCGCUGGAGAACUGAGGGGGGCUGCUCCUAGUACGAGAGGACCGGAGUGGACGCAUCACUGGUGUUCGGGUUGUCAUGCCAAUGGCACUGCCCGGUAGCUAAAUGCGGAAGAGAUAAGUGCUGAAAGCAUCUAAGCACG